rnacentral:piRNA from 1 species
UUGUUCUAUCUUCUGGCUCCUUC